AUGCAUAUUUGAAAAAGAGCAAGGUUAGAAAUCAAAAGACAAGAGUAUGAAACUGUGACAAUACCAUCUCAGGCAUUAGUGAGGGGCACAUUGCCAGGACUCCUGAUGGCACAGCAUAAGGUGACUUAUUUCCACAUGCAAAUCUGAGCACUCUAUCCAGUCUCUGCAGCACCAUCCCAUCUUGCUCCCUGUUCCCGUUCUCUCUAUUUUGUUAGAUAAUGGGUGGGCUCCCUCUGAGAGCUCUGUGGGAGCUCUCAACAAUUUUAGCACCACACACCUGAAGAAUAUAAUUCUCCUGCCUAUCUCCAUGUAUAAGGAGAUGAAGUGCAAAGGAGAGCCCAGCUGAGCACCUAAAAUGGCAUCCCUCAGGCCAAAUCAGGCACAAAGUCCCCUGGAAUCAGACAAGAAAGGUUGGUGAUGACUGGUGAACCCUCCAGGAUGGGGGAAGACAAAAUAAGUGGAAGCAGACUUAAAGGAAGCCUUCCUGUCUCGGACAUGGUGCUCUCACACCUGCCUGGAGGGGAGGAACCCAGGUGCUGAGUUCCAUGGUGUCACAAUGCUGGAGAAGCUCCCACACUCCUGGUCUGAGAAAGCCCUUCCAGGAGAGAGAAUGCUUGCUUGGAGUUCUAGGACAGAGAAAGACAUAUAGACUGGGAGGCCAGACUGUAUCUCCAUAGUGAGAAACAACCUAGCGCUUUCACCCACCAUGAACGAGAUAUGCACUGCUCUCUGUCAGCACUCUGUCGCUUCAAGGAAACAGAUCAGAUUAGAACAUGACAAAUGCAGCUGAUGGGUAAAACAGGAGAGAGAGCAUGGUACAGAAGGAAGCAUAUAUGCCCGAUCUAAAACCCUCUUUCCAUCCAAUUAGAAACCAUAUGUUCGUGGACAAAUCACUUUGUCACUCAAAGUUAUAGUUCUCUUGACUGUCCCAAACCUUACUUGAAAAUACAUGCUAUUAUUGUGUAACUUAAUUAAAUAAUGAAUGUAAAACUGUUCCCAGUAUGUUCACAUAUUAAUUAGUAUAUAUCUACAUCAUCAUUUUAAUGACUGCAUUUUAUUUAUA
rnacentral:lncRNA from 1 species